UUUACAGGACGUCCCUCCUUAAAAUGAUUAGGAGUGGAGUGUGAUGUCCUCAAAAUAAAUACGCAUCCUCAUCUCGAUAAAAUAUUCUCGGCAUUCCAUUUUAUUUUAUAUUUUGGACAAGAAAACAGUGGACGUAUUAAAGUAAAAACAUGUAUUUCUACAAAAUAUACAAAUUAACUUCUUAGUGUAUUGUAAAGAUGCACCGAUCUAUCUGUGAGGCUGGUUCCUAUCCAGCUCUAGAAGAAUGCCAUGUUUGUUGUAAGGGACUUUUUCCACUGCCCGCUGUGUCCUACCUUUAAACCCAGCAAAAAGACAGUGAUUGAGGCCCAUAUGAAUCUUCAUGUAAAAAGGGCAUUGCAUUUUAAAGGUAAGUUGACUCUGCAGCUGUGUAAAAGUUUAAUGGAUACACAUAUUUCUUUAGGGAUAUUUAGAUAAAUAUUAUAACAAGUGUUUAAAAUCAGAAGCAUAUUGAAUUAAAACAUAAGCUAAUUUCCUAUUAGGUUGCUGGGGCCCCAUGUAGGCCAAAGGGAAGAACUGUAAACUGGUAAAGACCCCAGGGGGUCCUAAAUGCUGUUAAUUCCCGAGACCGCUGGGUCAAGGGCACUUGCCAAUAACCUUUACAAAGAUCAAUUGUAGUUAAAAACUUUGCCUUCCCUAAACGUCAUAUCUUUCAAUUUCUCUCUCAUCUGUACCACAUAUGAAAUGACAUUGACAGACUCAGUCCGUCCCUGGUCCCCUUCCCAAGUUUGUCUUAAGAGGGAAAGUGGCCCUCUGACCUCAUGCCCAUAAAGCAACUCGAAGGGAGAAAAACCUGUAGAGGCCUGCGGUACUUCCCUGUAUGCAAAAAGUAGGUAGGGGAGCCAUUGGUCCCAAUCUGAACCAGUGUCAUUCACAAAUCACCGAAGCAUCUGCUUAAGAGUUUGAUUAAACCGUUCAGUCAACCCAUCUGUCUGAGGGUGGUAAGGUGUAGUCCUUAUACUUUUAAUGCCAAGUAGCUUGUACACCUGUUGAAGCAGUGUGGACAUAAAAUUAGUUCCUUGGUCUGUUAAAAUCUCCAAUGGAAAACCAACCCUUGAAAAUAGUUGCACCAAGGAAAAUGCCACAACCUUUGCUUUAACAGAUUUUAAGGGGAAAACUUCAGGAUAUUUCGUUGCAUAAUCUGUAACCACCAACAUGUACCGAUUACCCAUCUUGCUUUUCUCCACUGGACCAACAACAUCCAUACCCAGCCGCUGAAAUGGGGUAGUAAUAAUGGGCAGAGGCUGCAGUGGAACUUUAGAGGGGCCUUUAGCUGAUGUCAACUGACACUGAGGGCAACUCUUACAGAAUUUAGCCACAUCAGACUGCAAGCCAUCAGUUUAAUGCGAGCUAUCGUCUUAUGUUUCCCAAGAUGACCAGCCCAGGGGAUGGAAUGACCCAAGGUAAGUACAAGGUACCGAGCCGUACUGGGGACCACCAACUGCACAACUGACCCCUGCCGUCGAUACAACACACCUUUCUGCAGGAAGUACUCUUCAUCCAGUCCACCAGCCUCAGUUCCUGUUUCCCACUCACUUACCCCCACAAUGAAAGGAGCCAAACUUGGGUCAUUUUGCUGAAUUUCAACCAUGUUAACUGGGAUCUCAUAACCCAAAGGCAUGUCAGGAGCUACACCAUCCGAUGGAUUUAAAACAGUAUGGUGGAACUUCUCUUGCCUUCUCUGGCUCCGUGGCUUUCUAGACUUUCCAGGCCGUGUCUCCAAGUCAACACCAAAAAGGCAGCACACCGAGGGUUGAUGAGGGCUCUUCCGUAUGUUUAGCUUGGGCCCGGGUAACCACCAUAUUACAGUUCUGGACUGGAGAUAACAGGUCAAAAAGGACAGGCAUAUCCCGCCCCAAGACCACUGAAAAAGGCAAACAAUCGGCAACUCCAACCGUUAAUAAAUAGACCCCACCACGGACCUCAAUAUAAACAUCAGCUGUAGGGUAAAGCUUCUCAUCCCCAUGUAUACAGCAAAUGGGAAGGGUCUCCAGUGAACUAAUGGCAUUGGUGGGUACAAACUGUCUCUGAACCAGGGUCUGGUCACUACCAGAAUCAAUUAAAGCUUUAAGAGGUCUGCCAUUUAUUUUAACAGAAAUGGUUUGAUAGGUACCAGACAUAGAUUUUAAUUCUGGACAUGGCACCAGACACAUUUGGGUGAGCUUAGCUGGAUUCCGAGGGCACCUAGGCUUGGUAUGACCAUCCUGUCCACACAGAUAACAAACAGGUAUUUUACCUUGCUUUGUUGCCAACUGACUCUCAUGAGGGGAUUACUCACACCCGAUGUAUGAUUUUGAUGGUACUGGGUGGGCAUUUGCCUGUGGGAGUCUCUUGCAGUUUUCCACGCUGCACAACUCCAUGGUUCCCCCUUCCUGCGAGCAGCUACAAACACAUCAGCUAGAUUGGCCGCCUCAGCAGCAGAAACUGGAUCAUGUUCCUUAAUCCACACCUGCAACUCUGGGGACAACAUCCUGAGAUACUGUUCCAGAAUAAGUACUUCCCCAAUAUCAUAAACUGUCUUACCAUUGGGUUGAGUCCAUUUAUUAUACAGCUCCUUCAACCUCACAUACAACUCCUUAGGGGUUUCUCCACGUCUAACCUCUGAGGAACGAAACCUCUGCCUUUAACAGGGGGAGAAGGUGGAAGACCCAGUCUGGCCUGGGCCACCGACAUGCUGCUACAAUUCUUUCAAAAGAAACGAAGAAAUGCUCCACAUCGUCAUCCUCCAUUAACUUUUCCAGUUUAGGGUCACUAAAGGAGCAAGACUGCCCUGUGAAGGUACGGGCUCGCUCAUGGCCUGGUGCAAGCAUACCUGGGGCUUGUAGAGAUGGAUAAGGUACCUCAGAAACCUCCUGUGACUCUGGUCCUGUCACCAAUAGCUCCGGAACAGAAGUACGAGCCUGCACCUCCAGCUGCAAAAGCUGAAAUUGGUGUUGUAAAACUUUAAACCGCUGCUCCUGUCGUGCUGCUUCUUCACUCAUCCGUGCUUCUCGUGCCUCUUGCUGCCCCAUGAAUGCCCGAAAAAUUCCUGGCAGCUCUGCUAAAGACUGUUCUCUACCGUUUUCCCUGUCGGUACCUAUAGGUCCUCCAGAAACUCCAGCCUCUUCGCCCUCCUUCCCAUCAGUCUGCACCUCUGGCCCAGCCUGUAUCUCUGUCCCAGCCCAGCUCACUUUUGAUCUUUUACCUCCACGAAGCAUCAUUCAAAAACUAUAUAUAAAAAACAAAAGAACAAGGAAAAAAACUGUGUCCUCUACCUGAUGAUCCCACCGCUGCCACCAUAUGUCAGGGACCGAGAUGGAAGGCACGAGGAACACAGACAAAUUAGGAAAAAAAUCCCUUUUUUUUUUUAAAUUCACAAAAAGAAAGCAAUUUAACAAAGAAUAAACUUGGGCCCACAAAAAAGUCAACUAAUCAAUAACUAAAUAACAACCUAAACCAAACAAACUGACCUUCUCCUAGACAAGACACCAUGAGGGCUAUAUACACACUGGUUGGCCAAACCACAAGACACAAAAGGGGAAACCCAACAACAAAUACCACAAAUACACCAGUCAGCUAAUGUUUUAAACAAAACAAACAAAAUCAAAUUAAAUUAAAUUAAUCCAAAAAAUGUACUUAAACAACAAAAAGAAACUAAAUACAAACUAUUCCACCCCCCACUGCAAACAGCUAGUUGGAGUUGUCCAAUUUCCUGCAUUUAGCCCAGCUUCCAUGUUGGUCACCUCUUUGACUGGAGCAGCAAGGAAUCCUCCCCUGCACUCCACACACGGUAAAUCAAAGGAAAUAAUUAAACUCAAUAAAUACUUAACACAUUAUUCCAGUUAACUAAACGUGCACGCCUCGUCUAGUAACUGGUUAAAUGUGACAAAUAAAGAAAUACAUAAACAAAAUUAAAUGUUAAUUACUAGUUUAGUGCACUUAAACUAAACAAACUCCAACAUAGAACAACAAAUGACCAUAAAUAAUACUUCCCUUCAAAUUAGCUGUGUGGCUGUGGGGGCAGCCAUCACAAUCCCUUUAAUGUUUUCAAUAGUUAUAAGUAAGAACACGGGCAAAUUAUGCAUUUAGUAGCCAUGAAACACAUUAAAGUAACAUAAAUGUGUUUUUGUUGUACCAAGAAAUCCCACUGUUUGCAACCCUCAGCAGCUAUUAGUUGUAGUACAAAAUGAAAGAACAUGUUUUUCAUAUUAUAAAUUACUGAAUGGUUAGUUAAGGAAAGGAGAGAGUAGAUUACAAUCAGUAAUUUGAAAAUUAUAGAGUGCAUUAUUAUAUUAUGUGGUGCAUGACUGAUUAGUGUGCUUCCUUGUCAUAGGGCAUAUUAACGGGCAAGAAGAAAUCAAAGUAUCUGAAAAGGUUUCUGAAACCAUCUUCUUACAUCCUUCCUGUGUAUUUCGAGGAUGAUGUACAGCAAAACCAUAUACCUUUCAUAUACCUUAAAGAUUCCUUGACAGGACCUCUACUGUUUUGCUGAUCUAGGAUAAAAUCAAGUUCAUUCUUGAUGUAUUGAUGCCAGAGGUAAGUGUUGAAUUAAUUUUGAAUUUUGAAUGCACUUGCUGAGCUUAUUAUUUGGUAGAUAAAUCAUGAGUUUUAUUCCAGUGCACCAUCUAUGGCCUUUCUGUACUUCAUAAUACUGAUUUUAAGAAGGCAGAGGAAAUGUUCCUUGCAGACCCUCCGUUGGAUCAAAGCUAUGUACUCGUAUUUAAUCGAGUUUUAUUUUUAAUUAUUCUGUAAAAGUUAAGCAAUUUUUCUUCUUUUCAGUGAGAAAGAUGUCUUCAACAAAUCAGUUGAGAAGUACAUGAAAAGGAAAGGUGUUUGGUUGUAAGAAUUGUACUUACUAUGUUUAAAUCUUUUGUUUGAUCAGAAGACAUCUUUAAUUAGUGUGUUUCUUGUUUUUCUCUUCCUUUUUAUGCUCCCCUCUCUUCCACUCUCUUUUUAUUGCUCUCUUAGUACUACAAUGUGUAUAUGUGCAUUUUUAUAUUGUAUUUAUACAUUUUGAUUUGUUAUAUAUCAUUGUCUUAAAAUAAAUGUUUGUUUCAAAUCUGU